AAGCUUCUGUGGUUCAGAAGUGUGAGGACUGGUUAUCACACCGCUGUGGGAAGUGCCUCCCCCAAGCCUUGUUAUGAUGUCUAUCUACACAGUACUCACCUGACG
rnacentral:snoRNA from 1 species